AUUAAAAUGAACUUAUAUUGACACAUUCUCUGUGUACUUCAACAAAUAUCUCAAAUAAAAACACCAUAGAGACAGAGUGCCUUUAAGUCCUGCCCCCACCGGAGGGAAAUCAACUCUCCGCUCUCUAUUGACUUGUAUUGCGUGACGGUGCCUCCUCGUCAUUGCCGUCUGCUAGCGAACAGAAAAAUGCUUAAAAGCUGCUGUGUGAUGAUAUGCACAACCAGCAGGGUAAAGAACCCAAAACAUAAGUUAUUAUAAGCUGCUGAACCGAAAAACUGAGUUUUUAUAAAGACAAAAGUAACAUGAGGAAUCAGCAGGGAGAACGGGAAGACACUAAGCUAACAUUAUGGUCAGCGUUACUAUGAAGCAAGCAUUUUGUUACCUAGUCAGAUAUCCAAAUUUCAGUUUUAGGCUAACUAUAUUUAUGUAUGUUAAGCUAAAACAUUUUGACAGUAUGUGACUCGUGUUACAGUGGAAUGUGGAUAAAUCAGAAAGCUAUGCAGCAUUAUGUUUGCCUUAACUUGCUAACACAAUAGCUAACAUUAGCUUACUAACAGCUAACUUGUCCUCUCUGGUAGACAAAGGUUGCUAAAAUAAUCCUGUGACAUGCUUAAAUCUAAUGGUUUUUGCUAGCUACAGGCACUUUGUUUGCUGCAUUUUGUGGCGCCGAUUGUUUUCCCCUCCGGUGGACGUGGCUUUCAGAGUAUGAUGCGAUGCGCUCCGUCUUUAUCAAGAUAAAUUGAAGGUGUGACCACAAUGUGCAGUCAGAGUGGUAAAAAUCUGAAUUUUCUUCCAAGUCUUAACCGAGUCACAUCUCUUUUGCACCAGGGAAAGUGGCUUCACAUCUCCUCUGAAAACUAAUAAGAGACUUCGCACUCUCCCCAGGCCUCUCUUCACUCUACACCGUUACUAAUCGACAAUUUCCUGUCCUGUAUGGCUGCACUGACUUCUAAGAAAGUGACACAAUUUUGGACAAUGAGAUGAUAAUUUCCUUUUCAUAGUAAGAAAUUAUACUGUGAGUUUGCCUCAUUUCAGAUAAUAAUGUAUUCUGUCACAGUCUGACCCGUAGUGGUUUCUCUAUUUCAGCCUCAGUGAGAGUUCAGCGCACAGAGGUGGACCUAUGAUUGCUUCAGUUUUACUUUAAAGGCAGACCUGACCCAGUUCAGCAAAUCAUGAUCAGAACUCGUGGGGUGUGAAGUGACUUGAGCAUAACUCAUCUGAAGCACUUGUGUGAUGCAUGCAUGUAACUGAAAAAA